rnacentral:lncRNA from 1 species
AGGAACAUGCUGCUUGCCCAAAAUUCUCCACAAUCCUCCACCUCCGCUCUUCCAUUUAGGAUAUAAAAGAGGGUUUUCUCAGACCUUCUGCCAAUGCGCAGACAGAUGAAAGACGACACAGAGGUUCUCAUCAUUCUGCUGAGGAACUGAAAGCGGGUUUCCCACUCCAAUGUCUUAGUUUGGAAUCACGGCUUUUGUCCCCUCUCCGAGAAUGAAUAAUCACCAAGAAAAGAGAGGCCGUGGUAGGUGAAGGAAUGCCCAAUUCAGCCGAAAAGAAGUCAAUCCCUCCUGCCUCCUUCAGCUUGGAGUUUAGGGUAGGGAGAGAGCUUUGUUCGUGUACACGCGGUUUUCAUUCUUGUCUCUUUCUUCGAAACAGAGACUCAGUUUUAUUAGGAAAACAAUUUGCCAAACAAACUAAAAGGCUAUUAUUCCUAACUUCUCCUGCAGCUAAGAGGGACCAGACAAAGUUCAAGCUGAUGAGCUGUGAGCAGAAGGACUGAGAGGGUCUUUGGGGAGGGUGCUUAGGUGGAACUGACACAGCUGUGCGGCCCCUUUGUCCUUCUUUCCUCCUCCUUUCCCUCUGAAAAGCAGUCACCGUGGGCCCUGAGACAGCCUUCAGGAUGGAAACCAGCUAUGAAGAUGCUGGGGCAGAAAGAUUCAUGCUGGCUGACUGCCUUGGGGGGCCAUCCAGGAGCAGCAGGGAGCCCACCUCCAGAGCUCCUUUAUUGGAGAAAGAAAUAACUCUUUCUCUCUCUUCUCUGUGGUGCUGUUAUUCUGGGUUUUCUGCUAUGUGUAGGCAAAACUAAUCCUAACCAAGAUACCAGCUUUUCAUUGAAUCUGUGUGUGAACUUGAACCAG